UGGGGAAUCUUGCACAAUGGGCGCAAGCCUGAUGCAGCCAUGCCGCGUGUAUGAUGAAGGCCUUCGGGUUGUAAAGUACUUUCAGCGGGGAGGAAGGGAGUAAAGUUAAUACAUUUGAUCAUUGACGUUACCCGCACUAGAAGCGCCGGCUAACUCCGUGCCAGCAGCCGCGGUAAUACGGAGGGUGCAAGCGUUAAUCGGAAUUACUGGGCGUAAAGCGCACGCAGGCGGUUUGUUAAGUCAGAUGUGAAAUCCCCGGGCUCAACCUGGGAACUGCAUCUGAUACUGGCAAGCUUGAGUUUCGUAGAGGGGGGUGGAAUUCCAGGUGUAGCGGUGAAAUGCGUAGAGAUCUGGAGGAAUACCGGUGGCGAAGGCGGCCCCCUGGACGAAGACUGACGCUCAGGUGCGAAAGCGUGGGGAGCAAACAGG
rnacentral:rRNA from 1 species